rnacentral:tRNA from 1 species
GCAGUCGUGGCCGAUUGGCUAAGGCGAUGGACUAGAAAUCCAUUGGGGUCUCCCCGCACAAAUUGAAUGUUGUCGACUACG